rnacentral:lncRNA from 1 species
GUUUAUGACCAGGACCAGACAAGGAACAAGGUCUUUGAGUAUGGAAACCUGGUUCCUCAGGCCAGGACUGUGGGGAUCCUGCCUGCCUAGACAAGGGGGGGCAGGCGCAAUUGGUCUUUUCCUCUUCAGGGGCCCAGAGGGCUGGGAGAUCCCCCAGGAGACCCAAGUCAUACAAAACCCACAUUGGGCCCUUCUGGGAUCACUAUUCCUGCUCUCUCUGUCUACACUGCUGGGUCCACCAUAAACAACUUGGGACAGAGGCAUAGAUUGGCAUGAUCUGAUUGGAUAGAAGCCACCAGACCAAAGUGUUCUUUGGACAGUUCAGAAGAAAACUGUCCUAAAGCCUAGCUCAGAACCACAAUCAAACCCAGGAGAGAGGCCAGAUGGGUCCCAACCUCCCCAAGAUCUUUAUGUGGCAAGCCUCCCCUUGUAUCGCAAGGGCUGUUCCUAUCCUCCCAGCGCCACAUAGCAUGAGGAAGUCCUUAUGUAGCCUGAAGAGGAACAGGGUAGACAUCUCUAACUUCUUCUACCCUUCUUCAAGGGAGACUUUCAUUCCUGCCAGGAGGCCACUCUGCUAUUUUCAGAGAAAAGAUGGAUAGCGGGAGAGAAUCAAAGCUAUCUUCCCUCUUACAUAUUGUUAGUCUAGGGAAUGUGAUCUGGUUCAAGCUAACUUCUGAUCACUUUUCAUUAUUGGGAGGAAAGGAAGAACCCAAGUUUUCUAUCUAAGGCCUGACUCCUUUUCCACCAAUACCAGUUCCACUUUGACGACACAAAGCACUUAAUCAAGAAAAUCCAUUAUCCAAUCACAGCAAAACAGAAAUGAGAAAAGGCAUAUACAAGAGGACAUAUGCCAGGCAAUAGAGUGAAGGAACUAUCUCAUUAGGAACAUGGUAAUUUGGCUCAAGCAAGAGAGAGAGAGUCCUAGAUCUCACCUAAGAGAAUAUCUCCAUAGGCUCCAGAGUAGCAAGUUGGGAAUAGAAACAUGAUAGAGGAUGCUGGUUCCUCUCUUGUCUUCAAGUAUGGAAGCCAAAAGUGCCCAGAGUAACUCGACACUUGAAGAGAGUUCAAAGAUGACUGAAGAGAGGAAAGCUCCACCCCACACUAUCUCUCCUGAGGGGCAGGCCAUUCAUUUCCACCAAAGAGGAGAGAGUCCCAUGCCAACUGCCUUUGGGCUGGGUCACAGAAUAAGUGGUAAAGAAAUGGAAACUGAGGGAAUGCCCAUUGACUGGAAAAUGGCUGAACAAGUUGUGGCAUAUGGUUGUCAUGAUAUUAUUGGAACAUAAGAAAUGAUGCCCCAGAUAUGUUCAAAAAAACCUGGAAAGUCUUAUAUGAACUGAUGCAAAGAGAAGUGAGCAGGAACAGGGGAACACUAUCACAGAGUAACAGAAAUAUUGCACGAUGAUCAAGUGUGAAGGACUAAAACUAAUAUCACCAAAACAAGGUUCCAAGAUAACCCCAUCCACAGACAAAGAAGAAACUGUUGGCAUGUGAUUAUAGAUCAAAGCAGGCCAUUUUCCGCUUUAUUUUCUUCAUGAGUUUUUUCCUUGUGUGUGUGAUAUGUGGCUUCUUUCAUGGCAGGAGGAAUAGAGAAAUAUUUUUUGCAUGAUAUCACUGGUAUAACCUAUAUCCAAUUAUUUAACUCCUUGCAGAGGGAGAGAAUCUGGAUCAUAAAAAUAACAAUUGUUUCUACAUGUAAUUAAAAAAACAAACUAACAGGGCAGCUAGGUGGCUCAGUGGAUAGAGAGCCAGGCUCGGAGUCAGGCAGUUCUGGUUCAAAUCUAGCCUCAAACACUUCCUAUCUGGGUGACCUUGGGCGGUUUAACUUACCCUUACCACUCUUUUGCCUUGGAAUGAAUACACAAUAUUGAUUCUUAGAUAGGAGGUAAGGGUUUUUAAAAUAAAUACAAUUUUUAAAUUCCA